AUGGUCGAAUCAUCCGCCUCCACUCUUCCCCAAAGGCUGGGAAAUGGAGUCAGAACAUGGAGGGUGACCUGUUUGGAGGUAGAUGCACGAUUCCUAAUUGUGACAGGGUUUUACAUUGAGGAUGACGAAGAAAGAUCUGGAACAAUGUGUGAGGUGAGGGAAGGGUACUGACCUCCUAGUCCUUUGUUAGAGAGACAUACAGGGGAAGGAGAAUUCUUAGGGCCAGGCCAAGUUGUGGUUAGGUCACAGGAGAUGCACAGCAGAGUAGUUACAUGUGUAGGAAAAUUCUGGUCACCAGAAAAAAAUGCAGAUUUGAAUGAUAUAUCAGAAAGAACCCAAGAAGGUAGUUCAGCAAAGUACAGAAUAAUGUGAAGAGAGAGUAUCUGACUUUCAGAACCAAAGCCUGAAAACCUUGAGGUAGAGUAAUUCCAAGGUUUGAAACAAUAUUUUGUUGUCAAAUUACUUUAAUACAGUGUUACUUCGGUAUGAGGUGAGGGAAUUCCACCUGAUGCAGAGUGUCUGGUCGGCUGGGGGUAAAGUUAGUACAGAGGCUGACUUGAGUAAAUUGACAGGGGUUCUAUUAUUCCUCAGGCCUAGUACACAGCUAUGGAGACAAAAAUGAAUAUUGGCUAAAAUGCACCAGUUUGGAGUUUCAAAAAUAUUAGAUUGAUUAACUGAAUGAUCGACCCUAUUUUGAAUAUCUGUAGAGGAAUUCAGGAAAAGUCUAAUAGAGAAUGGAUGUGGGCUGGAGUAAAGUGAAGUGAUAUCACAGAGUAGAGCCAGGUAUGACCUCCUCUAGGACUGAUGUGAGGGAGGCCAGCCUGGAAGAAAUGCCACAGAAGUGAUGUGUAGGGAGAAUCCCUGAUUCAUCAUGAUGCCAACAGGUAAAGCUCUAACCUGGCCGGGCACCAGAGAAAAACAGCAUUCGGGUUCCCGUCUACUAUGAAAUCCACGAAUGGUAUCAGAGCAGUGUCAUAUCCAUUCAACAAGGAACCUAAAAGUUAAGAUCAUGGUAAGUGUUUCAGCCCCAUGAAACACACCUCUCAAUUUGUGAUUAAGGAAACUGAGGCUCAAUGAAGAAAAGUAAUUUGCUCAAGUUCACACAAAUAAAGGGAGAGCUGAGUCUGGGUCUUCUAACCUU
rnacentral:lncRNA from 1 species